ACCCUAGAAAUUCUCCACAAUGCAUCCAUUCUCAGAUGUGUGGAUUUCCAGGCAAGUGUUCUGCACACAAAAACUGCUCCAUAUAUGUUACUGGUUCAUCUAACUAAAGACCCCAGAAGAGACUAGCACCCCAAAGGAGCAAAUAUUUCUCUUCUGGGCUCCCCAACUUAAAGCAAACAUCGCUAUUAUGAGCAGGCAGUAGGCAGUUAAUAAAUACUUCUUGACUAAUUAGGGAGUGUAAGUAUGCAAAAGUGGUGAAUUAGAAAGAAAGAGAGCUGCAUUAAAGAUAAUCAAACCACGAAGUAUCUAGAACAAUAGCUUCUCCCCUGCAUUGUGUGUGUAGGGAGAGAAAGGCUGGCUAGCUGGCAGCUCUCCCUUCUCAUUAGUCUCCACCAGGAUAGUAUUGCAAUUAGCUCCGGAUGGCACAGCAAUUAUCUUCUAUUCUUGGAACAAACUCCUGGGAGAUCUGAGUUUGGGUGGUGAAGGAAGGUUUUACCAGGGACAAAUAAAUUCACUGUGAACCCCUUCUGAGUGAAUACUCCGCGUGUGGCUAAUAGAAUGUUAGCCAUCAAUGUAAACCUGACUGGUGGCUUCGUUUUAUAUCAAUGACACUUAAACACGAGCUCAAGAAUUUGGAUGGCCAAUUAACAGAACAUGGCUCGGGAAAUUAUAGGUUUCAAAUUUCAGAAAAAUCGGUGAAUUUAGACAACUCGAAUAUCUGCUCCUCAUUAAGGUAGACAGCCUCGGCCUCCAAGUUCUGGCUGACACGGGCUUGCUACUGAGAUGGGGACUGAAAGGAGUAAAAAAAUAAUGUUCUCAAUUAUCUUGCCAGUUAUUGAGCCGGGUAAAGACUCCACCUCACCGCCCACUUGACAAUCCCUUUUAAACAGCUAAAUUUCCUGCAUUUUAAUCAGCUGACAGACCCAGGAGGCUGGGCUGUCUGGGAUGUUUGCUCGCCCUGGCUGGGGAGGACCGGGCUUGGCAGGCACAGGGGCCUCCAAGGUCCUUGUGGAGGGUCCUUGCCAAGAAGAGAGCCUCUUCCUGGGGUCAGAACCGAGCCACAAAUCCUGGCUCUGCGACCCCUCCAACCUCUUCGCUUCGUCUUCCACCCGUCACGCUUUUCUUUCUUCUGUGACAGGAACGACAGCUGUAGGGCCUGGAGUGUUUUGUCAAAGGGCCUAAGCUGGAAUCCUGCCUGGCUCCACUGCCUGCUAGUUGGGUGACUCGAGCUUUCUGAGGCCCAGUUUCUCCCUCUAGAAAAUGGUCAUUACGGGAAUGCUGAUGAUCACCUGUGCUUAGGACGAGCCCCAGGAGCUCUGUGUUGAUGCAGGGCUUCCCUGCAGAUGGUGCUGCGGCCCGGAGAAUGCUGCUAGCGAUAGGUGGGGAGAGGGG
rnacentral:lncRNA from 1 species